ACUGGUGAAAAGAAGAGAGAAGAGGAGGAGGAGAAGAACUGGUGAAAAGAAGAGAGAAGAGGUCUGAGUGAGUGUGACCAGCUGGAGAUGUUGUGCUACUGUACAGUGUGUGUGUGUGUGUGUGUGUGUGUGUGUGAGUGUGUGUGUGAGUCUGUGUUUGUAUGCUAAUGAGAUGUGGGAGGAUUUAUCUGUGCUAACCCUAAUCCUGAGCAGCCUGUUAGGCUGACAACAUCACCUCUGUCAUUCUGCACUGCAGGGUCAUCCAACACACACACACACACACACACAGACACGCACACACACGCACACACACACACACACACACACACACACACACACACACAGACAGACCUCCCCGUCAGGCUCAUACAACACUGUGACUGCCUCAGGUAAGAGAUGUGUUGCUUCUUGGGUCUUAACAGACUUGUUCACUUCUAACAGCACUACAUAGUCACGUAACCUGCUGUGUGUGUAAUAUACUUUAAGUGUGAAAAUGACCAAUUCUCCAGGUUGUUAUAUCAUGUCUGUGUGUGUCUAGUGUUACAUAUGUGUGAAAAGGACUUCAGUGUGUGUGUGUGUGUGUGUGUUACGUGUGUAAGCCUGUCAUGAAGACAACAGUAGAGGGAGGAUCCUGCUAUGGAGCAGUGGACCUGGGUUCAAUACAGGUCAGCCAAUCCCAGCGCCAGCUCCCUCACUAGCACUGACCAAUCAGAAGUCCUCGUUCUGAGUGACAGCUGUCCUGAGCCAACAGGAUGGAGGCUGGGAGCGAGGUGCUCGGCCUUCUGGAGAAGAUCUGGGCCAAGCUGCAGGGGCUUCCCCAUGCCAGCUCUAUAGAGAUAGGAGCCUUCUUCAUCCUCCUCCUCUUCAUCAUGGUUAUCAUCCUCAUGAUGGUUUUAGCCUGUGUGACCUGUUGCUGCUGUCGCAAGACCCAUCCCAAAGGACCCCACCCUUGACAUAUAUUUAGACAGGCAUCAACAGGGACUUCUAUGAAUCUGUAGAAUAAACACCCAGGCAGACAGAGCUUAGUUAUUAGUACAUGUGUUAAGUUAUAUUAUGUUGUUAUAGUGCCAUAGACCAUCUUUAUAAACAGGCUAUCUAUACGGACCUAAGGUCUAAUUGAUGAAGGAGGACCCCCACAGAAGAAAGGGAGACAGAAAGUGCACUACAGAAUGGAAGACACAUUUAGUCAGGCAUUCUGUAUGGACACCCCAAACAUCUUCAGAAUGGAGAUGCAAACCCAGCACAGCACAGCAGACUAGGAGCGACGUGGACGGUGAUGACUGAGCUGUUCUAGACAGGCGCUCAGCGGACGCCUGUGUAGACACCCACCCUGGCCAGCUCUCCAGGUGUCCAGGAGAGGCUACAUUCCUUGGAGCGCCCCUGAACCAGGGCAACACCCGAGGCUCUGACUGAGGAGGGGAGGGGCUUACCAGGAGGGGCGAAACGUACAUAGGGGUGGGGCUUACUGGGUGGGGUGGGGCUUACUGGGAGGGGCGGGGCUAACUUUAUGAUGGUGCCAAAAAGAAAAAGCUUUUAACACUUUAAGAGGAGAAAGGGAUGCAGCCUGACCCCUGCUGGAACUAUCUGGAACUGCAACAGUGAUCAAUGUAUUUUCUUUUACUUAAAAUACUGCCUGUUUAAUCAGUUAUCGGUAUGAUUAAUAUGUAGCUACGAUGUAUAACAUUUGUCACAUCAACAAUAUAUCAAUGAUGAUUGUAUAUCUCUAAACAUUAAACUGUCAUUUCCUA